AUUGAACGCUGGCGGCAUGCCUUACACAUGCAAGUCGAACGGCAGCACGGGUGCUUGCACCUGGUGGCGAGUGGCGAACGGGUGAGUAAUACAUCGGAACGUACCUUAUCGUGGGGGAUAACGCAGCGAAAGCUGUGCUAUUACCGCAUACGCCCUGAGGGGGAAAGCGGGGGAUCGCAAGACCUCGCGCGAUUAGAGCGGCCGAUGCCUGAUUAGCUUGUUGGUGGGGUAAAAGCCCACCAAGGCGACGAUCAGUAGCUGGUCUGAGAGGACGAUCAGCCACACUGGAACUGAGACACGGCCCAGACUCCUACGGGAGGCAGCAGUGGGGAAUUUUGGACAAUGGGGGCAACCCUGAUCCAGCAAUGCCGCGUGAGUGAAGAAGGCCUUCGGGUUGUAAAGCUCUUUUGUCAGGGAAGAAACACCGGCUCUAACACAGUCCGGGAAUGACGGUACCUGAAGAAUAAGCACCGGCUAACUACGUGCCAGCAGCCGCGGUAA
rnacentral:rRNA from 1 species